GGUGGUUCUUGGGUGACACACCCUUGAAUCAGGCUCCCUCUUUUCUGGUUCCAGGUGUCACCCGAGAACAGCA
rfam:Myotis brandtii contig184022, whole genome shotgun sequence.